UGGGGAAUAUUGCACAAUGGGCGCAAGCCUGAUGCAGCCAUGCCGCGUGUGUGAAGAAGGCCUUCGGGUUGUAAAGCACUUUCAGCGGGGAGGAAGGCGUUAAGGUUAAUAACCUUGGCGAUUGACGUUACCCGCAGAAGAAGCACCGGCUAACUCCGUGCCAGCAGCCGCGGUAAUACGGAGGGUGCAAGCGUUAAUCGGAAUUACUGGGCGUAAAGCGCACGCAGGCGGUCUGUCAAGUCGGAUGUGAAAUCCCCGGGCUCAACCUGGGAACUGCAUUCGGAACUGGCAGGCUAGAGUCUUGUAGAGGGGGGUAGAAUUCCAUGUGUAGCGGUGAAAUGCGUAGAGAUGUGGAGGAAUACCGGUGGCGAAGGCGGCCCCCUGGACAAAGACUGACGCUCAGGUGCGAAAGCGUGGGGAGCAAACAGG
rnacentral:rRNA from 1 species